UACGGAGGAUCCAAGCGUUAUCCGGAUUUAUUGGGUUUAAAGGGUGCGUAGGCGGCCUAUUAAGUCAGGGGUGAAAGACGGUAGCUUAACUAUCGCAGUGCCCUUGAUACUGAUGGGCUUGAACGUACUAGAGGUAGGCGGAAUGUGACAAGUAGCGGUGAAAUGCAUAGAUAUGUCACAGAACACCAAUUGCGAAGGCAGCUUACUAAAGUGAGAUUGACGCUGAGGCACGAAAGCGUGGGGAUCAAACAGG
rnacentral:rRNA from 1 species